rnacentral:rRNA from 1 species
UACAGAGACUGCAAGCGUUAUUCGGAUUCACUGGGCGUAAAGGGUGCGCAGGCGGCCGUGUGUGUCAGGUGUGAAAUACCGGGGCUCAACCCCGGAACUGCGCCUGAAACUACAUGGCUAGAGUAUUGGAGAGGGUAGUGGAAUUCACGGUGUAGCAGUGAAAUGCGUAGAUAUCGUGAGGAACACCAGAGGCGAAGGCGACUACCUGGACAAUUACUGACGCUCAGGCACGAAAGCGUGGGGAG